rnacentral:rRNA from 1 species
GGUGAGUAAUGCAUAGAUAAUGUGCCCCUUAGUUCGGGAUAGCCCACUGGAAACGGUGAUUAAUACCGGAUACUCCUUCUUGUUAUAAGACAAGUCGGGAAAGUUUCUCGCUAAGGGAUCAGUCUAUGUUCCAUCAGCUUGUUGGUGAGGUAAUGGCUCACCAAGGCUAUGACGGAUAUCUGGUUUGAGAGGAUGAUCAGACACACUGGAACUGAGACACGGUCCAGACUCCUACGGGAGGCAGCAGUGAGGAAUAUUGCACAAUGGAGGAAACUCUGAUGCAGCAACGCCGCGUGGAGGAUGACGCAUUUCGGUGUGUAAACUCCUUUUAUUAGGGAAGAUAAUGACGGUACCUAAUGAAUAAGCACCGGCUAACUCCGUGCCAGCAGCCGCGGUAAUACGGAGGGUGCAAGCGUUACUCGGAAUCACUGGGCGUAAAGGGUGCGUAGGCUGGCUUUUAAGUCAGAUGUGAAAUCCAAUGGCUCAACCAUUGAACUGCAUUUGAAACUGAAAGCCUAGAGUUCAGAAGGGGCAGAUGGAAUUAGUGGUGUAGGGGUAAAAUCCGUAGAUAUCACUAGGAAUAUCAAAAGCGAAGGCGAUCUGCUGGG